CCUACGGCGGCUGCAGUCGAGAAUCAUUCACAAUGGGGGAAACCCUUAUGGUGCGACGCCGCGUGGGGGAAUGAAGGUCUUCGGAUUGUAAACCCCUGUCAUGAGGGAGCAAAUUAAAAAGAUAGUACCACUAGUGGAAGAGACGGCUAACUCUGUGCCAGCAGCCGCGGUAAUACGGAGUACUCAAGCGUUGUGCGGAAUCACUGGGCGUAAAGCGUGCGUAGGCUGUUUCGUAAGUCGUGUGUGAAAGGCGCGGGCUCAACCGGCGGACGGAACAUGAUACUGCGAGACUAGAGUAAUGGAGGGGGAACCGGAAUUCGCGGUGUAGCAGUGAAAUGCGUAGAUAUCGAGAGGAACACUCGUGGCGAAGGCGGGUUCCUGGACAUUAACUGACGUUGAGGCACGAAGGCCAGGGGAGCGAAAGGGAUUAGAUACCCUUGUAGUC
rnacentral:rRNA from 1 species